UAAGUCUCCUGAAGGAACGUUGAAGACGACGACGUUGAUAGGCCGGGUGUGUAAGCGCAGCGAUGCGUUGAGCUAACCGGUACUAAUGAACCGUGAGGCUUAACCUUA
rnacentral:rRNA from 2 species